CAGCAGCCGCGGGAAUACGUAGGGUGCGAGCGUUAAUCGGAGUUACUGGGCGUAAAGCGUGCGCAGGCGGUUAUGUAAGACAGUUGUGAAAUCCCCGGGCUCAACCUGGGAACUGCAUCUGUGACUGCAUAGCUAGAGUACGGUAGAGGGGGAUGGAAUUCCGCGUGUAGCAGUGAAAUGCGUAGAUAUGCGGAGGAACACCGAUGGCGAAGGCAAUCCCCUGGACCUGUACUGACGCUCAUGCACGAAAGCGUGGGGAGCAAACAGGAUUAGAUACCCCAGUAGUCCCUGUCUCUUAUAC
rnacentral:rRNA from 1 species